GAAAAUCCUAGCAAUUAUUAGGCAGUUAACUAAACUAAAUAUAUCCUAAAAGGACUAUAUGUCCGUCCAGUCUGAGUUGAGUACAAGAAACAUGCGGAGGUCACACCUUGGCUCACCCGAUUAGCCACGUGUGGGAUACCAUAUUGUGAUUGGUAAGAUUUUUCCACCUUUUAAUGGGGUGAUUGGUGGCUAAUCGGGUGCUUGACCUCAACCCAAUCUCUCUCCAGUCGCAGGACAUCAAAGGACAGAGAAUACUUCAAAAUGAGAAGAUCCUGCCAUGGAAAAGAAAACUGGGUGGACAUAAAGUGGAAAGGAGGGGAAAUAACUCACACCAUGCAGCAGGACACCUUCAGCUGUGGGGUCUUUGUAAUGCAGUUGUGUGGGACAGCCAUAUGUUCCAAGUUCAAAGCCAACAACUGCUUCAUGUGUGCCACUGAUAAAGAACCUGGAUGUGGCCCAAAGACUGACUGGAUUGAAUGUUUUGCAUGCCAACGGUGGUUCCAUGUGCUGUGCCUAGGAAUGAAGACAAAAGAGUUUAGUGUGAAGAACACAAACUGGAAGUGCUGUCUUUGUUGUUGAAAAUGUAUGUUAUACUCUAUCCACACUGAAGAGGCUCUGAAAUGUACAUCAACCAGGGAUAAAGAGAAAGUUAACACUG